AUGUCUAGCAGAAGAUCCCGUUCUAGACAAUCCGGUGCUUCCUCUGAGAUCACUGAUGCUCAAAUCACUGAUCUCAUCUCCAAGUUACAACAACUCAUCCCCGAACUUCGCGCUACCCGCUCCAACAAGGUUUCAGCUUCUAAGGUAUUGCAAGAGACUUGCAACUACAUAAAAAACUUGCAUAGAGAAGUUGAUGAUUUAAGUGAAAGAUUGUCACAACUUUUGGCAACUACAGAUUCCAACAGUGCUCAAGCAGCUAUUAUUAGGAGCUUACUUAUGUAA